rnacentral:rRNA from 1 species
AACGAACGCUGGCGGCAUGCCUAACACAUGCAAGUCGAACGAGACCUUCGGGUCUAGUGGCGCACGGGUGCGUAACGCGUGGGAAUCUGCCCUUAGGUACGGAAUAACUCAGAGAAAUUUGUGCUAAUACCGUAUGAUGUCGAAAGACCAAAGAUUUAUCGCCUAAGGAUGAGCCCGCGUAAGAUUAGCUUGUUGGUGAGGUAAAAGCUCACCAAGGCGACGAUCUUUAGCUGGUCUGAGAGGAUGAUCAGCCACACUGGGACUGAGACACGGCCCAGACUCCUACGGGAGGCAGCAGUGGGGAAUAUUGGACAAUGGGGGCAACCCUGAUCCAGCAAUGCCGCGUGAGUGAUGAAGGCCUUAGGGUUGUAAAGCUCUUUACCAGGGACGAUGAUGACGGUACCUGGAGAAUAAGCCCCGGCUAACUUCGUGCCAGCAGCCGCGGUAAU